AGAAAUUCAAAAUAAUGUCGAAUGGAAGAAGUCGUCCAUAUGAGUUCAGUUUGGCCCGUGGGGAAAAGUUGCCCUAUAUCUCAGCAAUUCCUCCACUGUUUAAACGGGGUCAAGUUCCGCUGUUUGUGCCGACUACCGGCCCACCUACACCUAAAAAAGAGAAAG